rnacentral:rRNA from 1 species
CUCCUACGGGGGGCAGCAGUGAGGAAUAUUGGUCAAUGGGCGCAAGCCUGAACCAGCCAAGUCGCGUGAGGGAUGACGGUCCUAUGGAUUGUAAACCUCUUUUGUCAGGGAGCAACGCCGGCUACGUGUAGCCGGACUGAGAGUACCCGAAGAAAAAGCAUCGGCUAACUCCGUGCCAGCAGCCGCGGUAAUACGGAGGAUGCGAGCGUUAUCCGGAUUUAUUGGGUUUAAAGGGUGCGUAGGCGGAACAUUAAGUCAGCGGUAAAAUCGAGGGGCUCAACCCCUUUAAGCCGUUGAAACUGGUG